UCCCUGGCGGCCCAGUGGUUAGGGCUCUGCGCUACCAUUGCAGGGGGCACAGGUUCAAUCCCUGGUCGGGGAA